rnacentral:rRNA from 1 species
CACGUAGGGCGCGAGCGUUGUCCGGAAUUAUUGGGCGUAAAGAGCUCGUAGGCGGCCUGUUGCGUCCGCUGUGAAAGCCCGGGGCUUAACCCCGGGUCGGCAGUGGAUACGGGCAGGCUAGAGGUAGGUAGGGGAGAAUGGAAUUCCCGGUGUAGCGGUGAAAUGCGCAGAUAUCAGGAGGAACACCGGUGGCGAAGGCGGGUCUCUGGGCAACAACUGACGCUGAGGAGCGAAAGCGUGGGGGAGCGAACAGG